rnacentral:lncRNA from 1 species
CUCAGGAGCGCUAGCGACGGGCUCUGGGUCUUUUAGGAGCAACGGGGUCUGGACAGGGACGGAGCUCCCGCUCCAACUUCCGCGCCUUAAAUUAGCUGCGCCUCCUUCGAGUUCAGCAUUUGAUUUCCUAAUCAAUCUCUUUGUCGUCACCGCCCCCCCCCCAUCCCGUGGCCUUAACCCGAGCUUCCUGUUUCCCGGUCGGCCUUGUCCCGGCCUGGGUCCCGCGGUCGCCCGACUUUCCCGUCGAAGGCCCUCGAGCUCUGCGAUCCCAACACUCGGCUCUAGCUGCCCUCCGAGGCCUUACAGAAACUUGGGCGCCGCCCUCAGAUCGCAGCCCCGGCCAGAGCUUCGCGAGUGCCGGGCCGCCGCGGGCCGCCUCCACCUGGCAGCGACUCGGGUUCCGCGGAUGGCACUUACCUCCCCGAGAAGCCGGGCGGCAGAGGGAAGCGAGCUCUGGGCGGCUCCUGCCGGAGUGCGCGGGGCGCGGAGCAGCGCGCGCCUUUAAGACUUCCCUGAGACUCCGCCAGGUGGUGUCACGCCGGACGGGCCCUCGAGCUCCUCGCCCUCGCGGCCACCCGGCUUCCCUGCCCGCCGCCACCGCCGGAACCCCAGCCACUGGCUCUCCCCAGCCCUUCCCCACCGGCUCCUGGGGAACUAGUGGGGGUGGGGUGGGGACAGGUUGGAUAUAACUUGAGACGCACUUUUAUCCGGGAGAAAUCACCCCCCCACACACCUGUCCUACCUUUGGUUUGACCUGGAGAGUCGGAAGAAUCUAUUUUCCAACCAUUGCUAGGGAUGGAGGUGGGAGAGGAGAAGACUGAGAAGUUUUGCCCAAGGACCUGCGCUUAGGUCCUUAUAGCCAUCACCUCAGGAUAAGCCUCAAGUCUGGGCUAACCAGUCCUCUCUUCUCGCCUUUGGUCCAAGAUGGCCCGCUGACGCGCCUCCCCCAGUUACCAUUAAAAUGACCGAAGAUCAAAUAAAACUGUAAGUUAGGAAAAUGGGUCAUCCACAUUUCCGAGCGUGGAACAGGACUUUAGGAGGACACCAGUGAAGGCGGAAGGAACCUCGCAUUCACCCGGCGAGGACAGCACUCACGGGCCUUCUCCAAGCUCCAGGUUGGCGCUGAAGUCCCAACACCAAAAGCCACCUGCGAACCCUCCGCAGAGAUCGAGCUUCUACGGGGCAGAGGACUUCGGGCAGAAACUGCGGCUCUAGCUGCAGGCCAUUAUUCAACUUUAACAUCAUGGGCCUUUCAAGGAUUAUUUUGGACACUGGUAUUGAGAUUUCAAACUGCAUUGAUUAUUAACUAAUAUUUCAGCUUCAUUGUUAAUUGCCAUUUCUUUUAACGUAAACGUCUUCCUCGUUCCUGA